UACGGAGGGUGCGAGCGUUGUCCGGAAUCACUGGGCGUAAAGGGCGCGCAGGCGGCCUUAGAAGUCAGAUGUGAAAGCCCCGGGCUCAACCUGGGAAUGGCAUUUGAUACUCUGAGGCUGGAGUACGGGAGAGGAGAGUGGGAUUCCCAGUGUAGAGGUGAAAUUCGUAGAUAUUGGGAAGAACACCGGUGGCGAAGGCGGCUCUCUGGACCGUAACUGACGCUGAGGCGCGAAAGCGUGGGGAGCAAACAGG
rnacentral:rRNA from 1 species